rnacentral:rRNA from 1 species
UGAAUUUCGGGAUUAGUGCUUGGGUCGUGCCACAGGUAUGUACUUCGACAUCAGUGCUCAUCUUCCUGAUGAGCCGUAAUGCCAUUAAUUUGGUGUUGCGGGGAAUUUGGACUGUUACUUUGAAAAAAUUAGAGUGUUUAAAGCAAGCUAACGCUUGAAUACAUUAGCAUGGAAUAAUGAAAUAGGACGUUCGAUCCUAUUUUGUUGGUUUCUAGGAUUGACGUAAUGAUUAAUAGGGAUAGUUGGGGGCAUUAGUAUUCAAUUGUCAGAGGUGAAAUUCUUGGAUUUAUUGAAGACUAACUACUGCGAAAGCAUUUGCCAAGGAUGUUUUCAUUAAUCAAGAACGAAAGUUAGGGGAUCGAAGACGAUCAGAUACC